UCCGAUAUGGUGUAGUGGCCAACAUGAUGCCCUCUCAUCUCCAGUGAGAGGUUAGGCAUAGCCCCGAGUUCGAUUCUCGGUUUCGGAA
rnacentral:tRNA from 3 species